CGAGCGAGAAUUUUUCAAAUGACACUUCGGUUGAUUUUGGGAAAGGACAGCGGCGGACGGGUGAGUAACGCGUAGGCAACCUGCCCCUGACAGAGGGAUAGCCAUUGGAAACGAUGAUUAAAACCUCAUAAUGCCGAAGGAACACAUGUUUCAUCGGCCAAAGAUUUAUCGGUCAGGGAUGGGCCUGCGUCUGAUUAACUAGUUGGUGAGGUAACGGCUCACCAAGGUGACGAUCAGUAGCCGACCUGAGAGGGUGAUCGGCCACAUUGGAACUGAGACACGGUCCAAACUUCUACGGAAGGCAGCAGUAGGGAAUCUUGCACAAUGGGCGAAAGCCUGAUGCAGCAACGCCGCGUGAAGGAUGAAGGCCUUCGGGUUGUAAACUUCUGUUCUUAGGGAAGAAGAAAGUGACGGUACCUAAGGAGAAAGCCCCGGCUAACUACGUGCCAGCAGCCGCGGUAAUACGUAGGGGGCAAGCGUUAUCCGGAAUUAUUGGGCGUAAAGAGUGCGUAGGUGGUUAUCUAAGCGUAAGGUUUAAGCGUGCAGCUCAACUGCAUCUCGCCUUGCGAACUGGACUACUUGAGUGCAGGAGGGGAAAGCGGAAUUCCUAGUGUAGCGGUGAAAUGCGUAGAUAUUAGGAGGAACACCAGCGGCGAAGGCGGCUUUCUGGACUGU
rnacentral:rRNA from 1 species